rnacentral:rRNA from 1 species
CCUACGGGUGGCAGCAGUGGGGAAUAUUGGGCAAUGGAGGCAACUCUGACCCAGCAACGCCGCGUGAGCGAUGAAGGUCUUCGGAUUGUAAAGCUCUGUCGCAGGGGACGAAGUAUGACGGUACCCUGUAAGAAAGCCCCGGCAAACUACGUGCCAGCAGCCGCGGUAAUACGUAGGGGGCUAGCGUUGUCCGGAAUUACUGGGCGUAAAGGGAGCGUAGACGGCUGCGCAAGUCUGAAGUGAAAGCCCGGGGCUCAACCCCGGGACUGCUUUGGAAACUGUGUAGCUAGAGUGCUGGAGAGGCAAGCGGAAUUCCUAGUGUAGCGGUGAAAUGCGUAGAUAUUAGGAAGAACACCAGUGGCGAAGGCGGCUUGCUGGACAGUAACUGACGUUGAGGCUCGAAAGCGUGGGGAGCAAACAGGAUUAGAUACCCUAGUAGUC